GGGGGCGACAGGCUUCGACGGGGAUCGAAGAGACGGAAGCUGCGUGCCGAGGUUCCAGGUGGCCUCGUAAAACCCCUGGGUAUAACUUCAAUUGCAGACGAUUACUCGUAUGCAAUGGCCGCUUAAGAGUGGCCCGUCCGUUCCGAUUUAGCCUGCGAAGUCGGAAACGGGCGUCGAAAAAGCGGGCUGGCUCGAGUGCCUUUGCCUGAGGGCGUUUGGGCGAGAGCUUUUCAGGCUGGCGGUCUUGCGAUCCUGUCGGUCGGAGCGCCAGAUCGCGAGAUCCAAUAGACCGACUACGCACGUAGGGGUUUCCGUUGAAGGUUCUCCGGACAUGGGUUCGAUUCCCAUCGCCUCCACCA
rnacentral:tmRNA from 1 species